rnacentral:rRNA from 1 species
AUUGAACGCUGGCGGCAGGCCUAACACAUGCAAGUCGAACGGUAACAGGAAGCAGCUUGCUGCUUUGCUGACGAGUGGCGGACGGGUGAGUAAUGUCUGGGAAACUGCCCGAUGGAGGGGGAUAACUACUGGAAACGGUAGCUAAUACCGCAUAACGUCGCAAGACCAAAGAGGGGGACCUUAGGGCCUCUUGCCAUCGGAUGUGCCCAGAUGGGAUUAGCUAGUAGGUGGGGUAACGGCUCACCUAGGCGACGAUCCCUAGCUGGUCUGAGAGGAUGACCAGCCACACUGGAACUGAGACACGGUCCAGACUCCUACGGGAGGCAGCAGUGGGGAAUAUUGCACAAUGGGCGCAAGCCUGAUGCAGCCAUGCCGCGUGUACGAAGAAGGCCUUCGGGUUGUAAAGUACUUUCAGCGGGGAGGAAGGGAGUAAAGUUAAUACCUUUGCUCAUUGACGUUACCCGCAGAAGAAGCACCGGCUAACUCCGUG